CUCUUCUAGGAUUGGUUGUCCACUCAUAACCAUAAGAUAAUUAAAACGGGGGGGGGCAGGGUAAAAAAAAAACCCUUUUAUCAGCCAUAGGUUAAUGCAAGUGUUUAACAGAUGCUUCGCUAUUAAAAUAUUUCCCCCCAAUACUGAAGAAUCUUAAACCAGCAACCCUAACAGAGAUUGCGAAGAUUUUCAAAGUGGGGCACCUCGAUUUCUCGAAUCUGUGGUGUGGCGAAUAUCCGUGUUCCUCCUGCUUAACUAGCCUGUUUGGCAGGUCUGAUUCUAUUUAUUCUAAAGACAGAGUUGGAGAUGGGCUACCAUUGGUGUUGAUUGAGAUGACAAGCAGUCACCUGAGCCCAUACAGCUGGAUUGACAUAUGAGAAUCAGAGAAAUGAAUGAAAGAUUAGAGUGGGAGAAAGUGCUUGCUGCCAAGCUUGAUGACCUAAAUUGAAUACCUGGAACCUACACGACAGAAAGAGAGAGCUGACUGCUGAAAGAUGUCCUCAGAUCUUCACAUGUGCACAGUGGCACCUAUCCAACCAUGCACAUAGUAUAUUAAAAAUUAUUUUUUAAAAAA
rnacentral:lncRNA from 1 species